rnacentral:rRNA from 1 species
ACGAACGCUGGCGGCGUGCCUAACACAUGCAAGUCGAACGGAGCUUGAGGGGCUUGCCCUUCAAGCUUAGUGGCGGACGGGUGAGUAACGCGUGAGUAACCUGCCUCUCAGAGGGGGAUAACGUUCUGAAAAGGACGCUAAUACCGCAUGACAUCCCGGGGCCGCAUGGCCCUGGGAUCAAAGGAGCAAUCCGCUGAGAGAUGGACUCGCGUCCGAUUAGCUAGUUGGUGAGAUAAAGGCCCACCAAGGCGACGAUCGGUAGCCGGACUGAGAGGUUGAACGGCCACAUUGGGACUGAGACACGGCCCAGACUCCUACGGGAGGCAGCAGUGGGGGAUAUUGCACAAUGGAGGGAACUCUGAUGCAGCAACGCCGCGUGAGGGAAGAAGGUCUUCGGAUUGUAAACCUUUGUCCUCAGGGAAGAUAAUGACGGUACCUGAGGAGGAAGCUCCGGCUAACUACGUGCCAGCAGCCGCGGUAAUACGUAGGGAGCAAGCGUUGUCCGGAUUUACUGGGUGUAAAGGGUGCGUAGGCGGAACUGCAAGUCAGUGGUGAAAUCUGAGGGCUCAACCCUCAAACUGCCAUUGAAACUGUGGUUCUUGAGUGAAGUAGAGGUAGGCGGAAUUCCCGGUGUAGCGGUGGAAUGCGUAGAGAUCGGGAGGAACACCAGUGGCGAAGGCGGCCUACUGGGCUUUAACUGACGCUGAGGCACGAAAGCAUGGGUAGCAAACAGGAUUAGAUACCCUGGUAGUCCAUGCCGUAAACGAUGAUUACUAGGUGUGGGGGGUCUGACCCCCUCCGUGCCGGAGUUAACACAAUAAGUAAUCCACCUGGGGAGUACGGCCGCAAGGUUGAAACUCAAAGGAAUUGACGGGGGCCCGCACAAGCAGUGGAGUAUGUGGUUUAAUUCGACGCAACGCGAAGAACCUUACCAGGUCUUGACAUCCAACUAACGAGGUAGAGAUACGUCAGGUGCCCUUCGGGGAAAGUUGAGACAGGUGGUGCAUGGUUGUCGUCAGCUCGUGUCGUGAGAUGUUGGGUUAAGUCCCGCAACGAGCGCAACCCUUGUGAUUAGUUGCUACGCAAGAGCACUCUAAUCAGACUGCCGUUGACAAAACGGAGGAAGGUGGGGAUGACGUCAAAUCAUCAUGCCCCUUAUGACCUGGGCUACACACGUACUACAAUGGCCGUCAACAGAGAGAGGCGACACCUCGAGGUGAAGCCGAACCCCUAAAACGGUCUCAGUUCCGAUUGUAGGCUGCAACCCGCCUACAUGAAGUUGGAAAUGCUAGUAAUCGCGGAUCAACAUGGCCGCGGUGGAUACGUUCCCCGGGCCUUGUAAACACCGCCCGUUACACCAUGGGAGGCGGGUAUACCCCAAGUCGGGGGUCUUACCCGCAAGGGGGGCCCUCCCCAAGGUAGGAUUUGCCGACUGGGGGGAAGUC